rnacentral:rRNA from 1 species
UACAGAGGUCUCAAGCGUUGUUCGGAUUCAUUGGGCGUAAAGGGUGCGUAGGCGGUCGCGCAAGUCGGAUGUGAAAUCUUGGGGCUCAACCCCGAAACUGCAUUCGAUACUGCGUGGCUCGAGUACUGGAGAGGAGACUGGAAUUUACGGUGUAGCAGUGAAAUGCGUAGAUAUCGUAAGGAAGACCAGUGGCGAAGGCGAGUCUCUGGACAGUUACUGACGCUGAGGCACGAAGGCCAGGGGAGCAAACGGG